AGUCACUGACAUUAGAUACCCGGGUAGUCCAGGGUGUAAACGCUGCAGACUUGGUGUUGGAAGUCCUUUGGGGGCAUUCAGUGCCGGAGAGAAGUUGUUAAGUCUGCUACUUGGGGAGUACGUCCGCAAGGAUGAAACUUAAGGAAUUGGCGGGGAGCACCGCAACGGGAGGAGCGUGCGGUUUAAUUGGAUUCAACACCGUAAAACUCACCAGGGAAGACUGUUACAUGAAAGCCGAGAUGAAGACUCUGCUAGAUUUUUCAG
rnacentral:rRNA from 1 species